rnacentral:rRNA from 1 species
GAUGAACGCUGGCGGCGUGCCUAAUACAUGCAAGUCGAGCGAACAGAUGAGGAGCUUGCUCCUCUGACGUUAGCGGCGAACGGGUGAGUAACACGUGGAUAACCUACCUAUAAGACUGGGAUAACUUCGGGAAACCGGAGCUAAUACCGGAUAAUAUAUUGAACCGCAUGGUUCAAUAGUGAAAGACGGUUUUGCUGUCACUUAUAGAUGGAUCCGCGCCGCAUUAGCUAGUUGGUAAGGUAACGGCUUACCAAGGCAACGAUGCGUAGCCGACCUGAGAGGGUGAUCGGCCACACUGGAACUGAGACACGGUCCAGACUCCUACGGGAGGCAGCAGUAGGGAAUCUUCCGCAAAGGGCGAAAGCCUGACGGAGCAACGCCGCGUGAGUGAUGAAGGUCUUCGGAUCGUAAAACUCUGUUAUUAGGGAAGAACAAAUGUGUAAGUAACUAUGCACGUCUUGACGGUACCUAAUCAGAAAGCCACGGCUAACUACGUG